UAAUGUUUCAUAUGCUCUUGAUGUAGAUUC
rnacentral:piRNA from 1 species